CAAGUCGAACGAGAAAGUGGAGCAAUCCAUGAGUACAGUGGCGUACGGGUAAGUAACACGUGGGUAAUCUACCUUUUAGUGAGGAAUAACCGAGGGAAACUUCGGCUAAUACCGCAUAAGCCCGAGAGGGGAAAGUCGAAAGACGCUGAAAGAGGAGCCCGCGGCCGAUUAGCUAGUUGGUGAGGUAAGAGCCCACCAAGGCAGAGAUCGGUAGCCGGCCUGAGAGGGCACACGGCCACACUGGCACUGAAACACGGGCCAGACUCCUACGGGAGGCAGCAGUGGGGAAUCUUGCACAAUGGGGGAAACCCUGAUGCAGCGACGCCGCGUGAGCGAUGAAGCCCUUCGGGGUGUAAAGCUCUUUCGUCAGGGAAGAUAGUGACGGUACCUGGAGAAGCAGCUGCGGCUAACUACGUGCCAGCAGCCGCGGUAAUACGUAGGCAGCAAGCGUUGUUCGGAGUUACUGGGCGUAAAGGGUGUGUAGGCGGUUCUUUAAGUUUGCUGUGAAAUCUCCCGGCUUAACCGGGAGGGUGCGGUGAAUACUGAGGGACUAGAGUACGGGAGAGGAAAGUGGAAUUCCUGGUGUAGCGGUGAAAUGCGUAGAUAUCAGGAGGAACACCGGUGGUGUAGACGGCUUUCUGGACCGACACUGACGCUGAGACACGAAAGCGUGGGUAGCAAACAGGAUUAGAUACCCUGGUAGUCCACGCCCUAAACGAUGCAUAUUUGGUGUGGGCAGUUCAUUCUGUCCGUGCCGGAGCUAACGCGUUAAAUAUGCCGCCUGGGGAGUACAGUCGCAAGGCUGAAACUCAAAGGAAUUGACGGGGGCCCGCACAAGCGGUGGAGCAUGUGGUUCA
rnacentral:rRNA from 1 species